rnacentral:rRNA from 1 species
AUUGAACGCUGGCGGCAUGCCUUACACAUGCAAGUCGAACGGUAACGCGGGGCAACCUGGCGACGAGUGGCGAACGGGUGAGUAAUGCAUCGGAACGUGCCCGGUAGUGGGGGAUAACUGCUCGAAAGAGCAGCUAAUACCGCAUACGACCUGAGGGCGAAAGGGGGGGAUCGCAAGACCUCUCGCUAUCGGAGCGGCCGAUGUCGGAUUAGCUAGUUGGUGGGGUAAAAGCCCACCAAGGCGACGAUCCGUAGCUGGUCUGAGAGGACGACCAGCCACACUGGGACUGAGACACGGCCCAGACUCCUACGGGAGGCAGCAGUGGGGAAUUUUGGACAAUGGACGCAAGUCUGAUCCAGCCAUGCCGCGUGCGGGAAGAAGGCCUUCGGGUUGUAAACCGCUUUUGUCAGGGAAGAAAUCUUCUGAGUUAAUACCUCGGGAGGAUGACGGUACCUGAAGAAUAAGCACCGGCUAACUACGUGCCAGCCGCCGCCGUAAUAC